CAAUGGGGGGAACCCUGAUCCAGCCAUGCCGCGUGUGUGAAGAAGGCCUUUUGGUUGUAAAGCACCUUAAGCGAGGAGGAGGCUACUCUAGUUAAUACCUAGGGAUAGUGGACGUUACUCGCAGAAUAAGCACCGGCUAACUCUGUGCCAGCAGCCGCGGUAAUACAGAGGGUGCGAGCGUUAAUCGGAUUUACUGGGCGUAAAGCGUGCGUAGGCGGCUUUUUAAGUCGGAUGUGAAAUCCCUGAGCUUAACUUAGGAAUUGCAUUCGAUACUGGGAAGCUAGAGUAUGGGAGAGGAUGGUAGAAUUCCAGGUGUAGCGGUGAAAUGCGUAGAGAUCUGGAGGAAUACCGAUGGCGAAGGCAGCCAUCUGGCCUAAUACUGACGCUGAGGUACGAAAGCAUGGGGAGCAAACAGGAUUAGAUACCCUGGUAGUCCAUGCCGUAAACGAUGUCUACUAGCCGUUGGGGCCUUUGAGGCUUUAGUGGCGCAGCUAACGCGAUAAGUAGACCGCCUGGGGAGUAC
rnacentral:rRNA from 1 species